GCUUUAAAGAUUACUUUUCUUGUUAAAGUAGUCCCAGUUAUUAACAUUUAAUAGUCUCAGUUCUUUGGUAAGUUUUGGGGGAACAGAUUUGACACAGACGCCUUCUUUGGGUCUAUCCAUCUGCAAGAAGACCACACGCUCCUUGGUGGAGCCUCUUCAUGAAGGACUGCUGCUACCCACUGUAAUCUCUCCUCCCAGGAGUAUCUCCUAUAAUCCACAGAACCAGCACUGCUUUCUCUGGAAAUACUAGUAUUUCAAGAAGGUAUGAGUGCAACAAGGUAUCUGAGCACGCUCUCCAGUAGUUCUCGCUCUCCUUUACCCACCCCACUUCUGCAAGAGGCUAAUCUGACUCAUUCCGCUGGGCUCUUUUUUAUGCACACAUAUGAGCACACAGUACUCUCUGGCCAUUAAGUGUUCUUGAUGGAAAGAACACAUAUGUGAUAGAAACAAUAAAGGAGCCAAACCCUAAAAGAUGAACAAACACAAGCCAAGUGAGAGCUGUAGAUGGUUCUUGGCGUAAAGACACAGGAGCAGAGGUGGGCGAGCAGCACCAUGUGUGGAACAUGGGACAGGGGAGAGUCACAGGCUGGAAGACCAGUCCGUGAACAGGACCUAGAAAUGAGAAAACCGGUCAAGUCAAAUAGACAUUAAGAAGAAGCCACCACAGAACAGGCCAUGCGAUGGAUUGUAUAAUUCAGGCAAGCUAUUUUAGCACAGAAGAUAAACCUGAGUGAAACUUUACAACCAAAAUGAAUAAAGUCUGAAAUUUAUGAGUCC
rnacentral:lncRNA from 1 species